rnacentral:rRNA from 1 species
UACAGAGGUCUCGAGCGUUGUUCGGAUUCAUUGGGCGUAAAGGGUGCGUAGGUGGCGCUGUAAGUCAGGUGUGAAAUUUCGGAGCUUAACUCCGAAACUGCAUUUGAUACUGCGGUGCUUGAGGACUGGAGAGGAGACUGGAAUUUACGGUGUAGCGGUGAAAUGCGUAGAUAUCGGGAGGAACACCUGUGGCGAAAGCGGCGCACUGGACCACAACUGACGCUGAGGCGCGAAAGCUAGGGGAGCAAACAGG